rnacentral:tRNA from 1 species
GGGGAUUUAGCUCAGCGGCAUAAGCGCCUGCCUUGCAAGCAGGCGGUUGUGAGUUCCAUCCCCG